AGUGAACGCUGGCGGCAGGCCUAACACAUGCAAGUCGAACGGCAGCACAAGAGAGCUUGCUCUCUGGGUGGCGAGUGGCGGACGGGUGAGGAAUGCAUCGGAAUCUGCCCAUUUGUGGGGGAUAACCUCGGGAAACCGGGACUAAUACCGCAUACGACCUACGGGUGAAAGCAGGGGAUCUUCGGACCUUGCGCAGAUGGAUGAGCCGAUGCCGGAUUAGCUAGUUGGAGGGGUAAAGGCCCACCAAGGCGACGAUCCGUAGCUGGUCUGAGAGGAUGAUCAGCCACACUGGGACUGAGACACGGCCCAGACUCCUACGGGAGGCAGCAGUGGGGAAUAUUGGACAAUGGGCGCAAGCCUGAUCCAGCCAUGCCACGUGUGUGAAGAAGGCCUUCGGGUUGUAAAGCACUUUUGUUGGGAAAGAAAAGCAGCCGGUUAAUACCCGGUUGUCAUGACGGUACCCAAAGAAUAAGCACCGGCUAACUUCGUG
rnacentral:rRNA from 1 species